AUACGUAGGUGGCAAGCGUUGUCCGGAAUUAUUGGGCGUAAAGCGCAUGUAGGCGGUAAUUUAAGUCUGUCGUGAAACUGCGGGGCUCAGCCCCGUAUGGCGAUGGAAAAUGGGUUACUUGAGUGCAGGAGAGGAAAGGGGGACUCCUAGUGUAGCGGUGAAAUGCGUAGAUAUUGGGAAGAACACCGGUGGCGAAGGCGCCUUUCUGGACUGUGUCUGACGCUGAGAUGCGAAAGCCAGGGUAGCGAACGGGAUUAGAUACCCCGGUAGUCCUGGCCGUAAACGAUGGGUACUAGGUGUGGGAGGUAUCGACCCCUUCCGUGCCGGAGUUAACGCAAUAAGUACCCCGCCUGGGGAGUACGGCCGCAAGGCUUAAACUCAAAGGAAUUGACGGGG
rnacentral:rRNA from 1 species